CAAACUAAAGAUGGCGACCGGCGCACGGGUGAGUAACACGUAUCCAACCUGCCGAUAGCUCGGGGAUAGCCUUUCGAAAGAAAGAUUAAUAUCCGAUAGUAUAUUAAAACCGCAUGGUUUUACUAUUAAAGAAUUUCGGUUAUCGAUGGGGAUGCGUUCCAUUAGUUUGUUGGCGGGGUAACGGCCCACCAAGACUACGAUGGAUAGGGGUUCUGAGAGGAAGGUCCCCCACAUUGGAACUGAGACACGGUCCAA
rnacentral:rRNA from 1 species